UGACCCUGAUGACCCCAACGACCCCAUAGCCGACCCCAUAACCGCCCCCAUUGCCCCCCAACACGGAAGCUGCAGACCCAGACCCAUUGCUGCCCCCAUUGACUCCAUUGCUGACCACAUCCACCCCAUUGGCCCUAUUGCUGACCCCACUGACCCCAUUGCCUCUAUUGGUGACCCCAUUGCCCCCAUUGACCUCAUUUGAAGACCCCAUUGACCCCAUUGCCCCCAUUGUCUCUAUUGGUGACCCCAUUGACCCCAUUGACCCCAUUUGAAGACCCCCAUUGACCCCAAUGACCCCAUUACUGCCCCCGUUGCUGAACCCAAUGCUCCCAUUGACCCCAACGACCCCAUAGCCGACCCCAUAACCCCCCUCUUUGCCCCCCAACAGGGAAGCUGCAGACCCUGGACGUUCUGCUGCGGCGGCUGAAGGCCGGCUCGCACCGCGUGCUCAUCUUCACCCAGAUGACCCGGAUGUUGGACGUCCUGGAGCGUUUCCUCACCUACCACGGCCACAUCUACCUGCGGCUGGACGGCAGCACCCGCGUGGAGCAGCGCCAGGUCGGGGGGCUGGCCCCAUAGCCGACCCCACAACUGACCCCAUAGCCGACCCCGUUGACUCCGUUGCCGACCCUAUUCCUGGCCCCGUUGACCUCGUUGAUCGCGUUGACCCCGUUGACCCCGUUGACCACAUUGACCCCAUUGACCCUAUUACUGACCCCAUUGACUCUAUUCCUGGCCCCAUUGACCUUGUUGAUCGCGUUGACCCCGUUGACCCCAUUGACCCCAUUGACCCUAUUACUGACCCUAUUGACCCUAUUCCUGGCCCCAUUGACCUCGUUGAUCACGUUGACCCCAUUGACCCUAUUACUGACCCUAUUGACCCUAUUCCUGGCCCCAUUGACCACAUCGACCCCAUUGUCCCCUUUGACCCCACGGACCCUAUUGACCCUAUUACUGGCCCCACUGACCCUAUUAGUGGCCCCACUGGCCCCAUUGCAUCUACCUGCGGCUGGACGGCAGCACCCGCGUGGAGCAGCGCCAGGUCGGGGGGCUGGCCCCAUAGCCGACCCCACAACUGACCCCAUAGCCGACCCCGUUGACUCCGUUGCCGACCCUAUUCCUGGCCCCGUUGACCUCGUUGACUGUGUUAACCCCAUUGACCACAUAGAGCUCAUUGAUCCCAUUGACCCUAUUACUGACCCUAUUGACCCUAUUCCUGGCCCUGUUGACCACAUCGACCCCAUUGUCCCCUUUGACCCCACGGAUCCUAUUACUGACCCCAUUGACCCUAUUCCUGGCCCCAUUGACCUCGUUGAUCGCGUUGACCCCGUUGACCACACUGACCUCAUUGACCCCCUUGA
rnacentral:lncRNA from 1 species